ACGAACCGUGCGAACGUUAUUCGGAAUCACUGGGCUUAAAGGGUACGUAGGCGGUCUUGCAAGUGGGGUGUGAAAUCCCUCGGCUCAACCGAGGAACUGCGCCCAAUACUGCCGCACUCGAGGGAGACAGAGGUAAGCGGAACUGAUGGUGGAGCGGUGAAAUGCGUUGAUAUCAUCAGGAACACCAGUAGCGAAGGCGGCUUACUGGGUCUCUUCUGACGCUGAGGCACGAAAGCUAGGGUAGCGAACGGGAUUAGAUACCCCGGUAGUCCUAGCUGUAAACGAUGAGCACUUGGUCGGAGACUCCUCCAUAGGUUUCCGGUCGUAGCGAAAGUGUUAAGUG
rnacentral:rRNA from 1 species